rnacentral:lncRNA from 1 species
UGAAAUUUGGGCAAGUUUUGGGAGUGAAAAGAAGUUUGGGCUAUUAAAAAUGUAGGCUGGUUUGCAUAAAUUUGGGCUUAACUGUUGAUUUUGUUAACUUUAUUUUUUUCCAGGGCAAUUCAGAUAACUUAUUUAAUGUAAAUAAUUAAAAUUGAUUUGAGGUAUUAAGUAUUAUUGUUUUCGUCGGUUCUCUGGUGAUAAACUUUAGCUUCGGUUGUCUUUUCUGAAAUCCGUUAUACCUCUUAUUG